rnacentral:rRNA from 1 species
UACAGAGGUCUCAAGCGUUGUUCGGAUUCAUUGGGCGUAAAGGGUGCGCAGGCGGUAAAGUAAGUCAGAUGUGAAAUUUCGGGGCUCAACCCCGAAACUGCAUCCGAUACUGCUUUACUAGAGGAUUGGAGAGGAGAUUGGAAUUCAUGGUGUAGCAGUGAAAUGCGUAGAUAUCAUGAGGAAGACCAGUGGCGAAGGCGGAUCUCUGGACAAAUCCUGACGCUGAGGCACGAAGGCUAGGGUAGCGAACGGG